rnacentral:tmRNA from 1 species
GGGGACGCGUGGAUUCGACAGGGGAGGUAGGCUACAGAAUUGCAGGCGGAGGUCCGCUAACCUCGUAAAACAAGCGGUAAAAAUAACUGGCGAACCUGAAUUCGCUCUCGCUGCCUAAAUAAAUUAGGCGGCACAUCCAACCCGACCCUCCCCCAAUGGGUUGGGAUUGGGUGACGAAAAAUUGGGGUGCCACCGCCUGGAUGUCGAUAAGGGUGGUGUAAGAUGUAUCGGCUGGUCUGGCUAAACUCGGUCAGCAGAGGCUAGCCGGGUGAGACUAAAGAGCUGACUAAGCCUGUAGGAUAUUCUGGGCAGCCUCUUCUGGACGGGGAGUUCGACUCUCCCCCGUCUCCACCA